GUACACUCCUGCGGGAGGCAGCAGUGAGGAAUAUUGGACAAUGGGUGGAAGCCUGAUCCAGCCAUCCCGCGUGCAGGAAGACGGCCCUAUGGGUUGUAAACUGCUUUUAUCUGGGGAUAAACCUACUUACGUGUAAGUAGCUGAAGGUACCAGAAGAAUAAGCACCGGCUAACUCCGUGCCAGCAGCCGCGGUAAUACGGAGGGUGCAAGCGUUAUCCGGAUUUAUUGGGUUUAAAGGGUCCGUAGGCGGACUGAUAAGUCAGUGGUGAAAUCCGACAGCUUAACUGUCGAACUGCCAUUGAUACUGUUAGUCUUGAGUAAGGUUGAAGUGGCUGGAAUAAGUAGUGUAGCGGUGAAAUGCAUAGAUAUUACUUAGAACACCAAUUGCGAAGGCAGGUCACUAAGUCUUAACUGACGCUGAUGGACGAAAGCGUGGGGAGCGAACAGGAUUAGAAACCCCAGUAGUCCCAUG
rnacentral:rRNA from 1 species